AUCGCUUCUCGGCCUUUUGGCUAAGAUCAAGUGCAGUAAUUGUUCUUAUCAAUUUAAUAUCUGAUAUGUCCUCAAUUAGAGGACUUUAUAUUAAAUGGAAUUUUGGGACUGGGAGUUGGAUCCAGAGCUUCCUUUUUUUUCUUUUUUUUUUUUUUAAGUUCCUGACAACUGGAAAAAGGGAAAUACAA